GUAAAGGUGUCACAUCCUCUUCGACGGGGGCGGGGCGCUCCGAGGUUGAGGGAGGCGAUGGUGGAGGUGCCACAAGGUAGGGUUCUCAAGGAGAUUGAGGUUGAGGUUGAAGCCAUUUCACUAGAUGAUGACUCCCUUAGUUGCGUCGUUAUCGUGCGCUCCCAUUUCAGCAAACUCUUUCUUCUCUGCUUCAGUUUCUCUGAACGUUUCAAUUCAACAGCCGCAACCACAGUCCAAUUCCAUGGCGUAUAUUGUUCUUGAGCCCUCUCUCUGCUGUUCCCUUGGUUGCUCUGUCAGGUUUUGGACUUUAUGAGUUGGGCUUUCCUGUGGUAUUGAUAUCUGCAACAAGAACUAGUCCUUAUUUCUUUCCUACAUGUACGAAUUAUAUGACUGUUAUGAUUCACACUUUCUUGAUCAUGUAUUUUGAAUUUUAGCUUGCAAAAUGUGUGGAGAUUGGGCUGCCAAAAAUUGUAAUCUUACUUGUAUUUUUAUAGUACAUUCCUCACGUGAUGAAAGGAGAAAAGCCUAUCGUUUAUCGAUUUGCAGUUUUAUUCUCAGUGACAAUUGUGUGGAUUUAUGCUCAUCUUCUCAGUGUGGGAGGGGCUUAUAAAAAUGUACCACAAACAACUCAGGAUACUUGCAGAAUUGAUCGUGUUGGUAUUAUAAGUAGUGCACCUUGGUAUGCAAGUGCAACUCCAUUGCCUCCUUCAGUUCUGAGCUGUGGUGUCGAUUGACAGGUGAAGUUAGUCUAUAAAAUUUCUGAUUAUCAAUGGUUUGUUCUAUUAUUAAUUGAUCUUGCUGAAACUCUCUUGUAAAUAUGUUGGGGUUUAAAACUUUAAACCAAAUGGUGGAUAGGCAACAAUUUGAUUUAAGGCAAAUAACCCAGGUAGUUAUUAGUCAUUUUCUAAAAUAAAUUGAAAACUAUGGACAAGUUUAUUUACUAUUAGGAGAUUAACAAACCUUCUUUUCAAAAACCCUUUUUUGGGUUGUGCCGUUCCAAUGGAUGUUAGAGGCAGCCUUUGGAUUCACAAUCGACAAUAGGGAAUACAUAAUUUAAGAUAAAAGUUUCAUGAAAUCCACUGUUAGAUUUUUAUCUCUCAUUACAUAAAUCAUGUCGAGAAGUGUCAUGUCAUAUUGAUUUUAAUCUAUGCCUUCGUAGUACAU